AAUGUGGGAUACCUGAAUAAUAGAUUUAAAAGGACCAAGUGGUAAAAUUGGGCCCAAGCUGAAGUACAGGCAAACUUGAUGUUUGAAAGAUAAGUUUUGAGAAAUGUCAUUGUAUUUUGGAGUAAAAGAGGCUAUCUUAGUAAUAAGAAAUAAACUUCCAUAACACUAGGUUAGACCACCCAAUAAAUCUAGAAAUCAGCUUUUAAAAAUAUUGUCUGAAGUCUAACAAAAGUUUUCACCUCUAAUGUGUUCUUUAAGAAAUUUAAGGAACUUAGCCUUGGAUUCCUGAAUAGAAAGGUAAGAAUUCUAUCAUUCUGGAGUUGAUGAAAACAUAAAUUUUCAGGAUGUGAAAUGAACAGUGAUUUAUAAAAUGGAAAUCAAAUUGUACAUUAGCAGAGUUCUUAAGCUUUUUGAAUUGAAGGAGACCUAAUAAUUGUGUCUUUUUGGUUAUUUAGUGACAAACGUGGCUUUCAAACUAUGCUUAAAAAGUUCCGGCUGGACACGGUGGCUCACACCUAUAAUCCUAGCACUUGGGGAGGCUGGUCUCAAACUCCUGACCUUGUGAUCUGCCCACCUCGGGCUCCCAAAGGCCGCAAACUUUUAAUGGCUUGAAAUCUUACAGUUCUGUAGGUCAGGAGUCUUGACACAGGUCCCACUAGGUUACAAUUAAGGUGUCAGCAGGGCUGUAUUAGUCCCUAGAGUCUUUAGGGGAGGCAAGGUUUUUUUUUUUUAUCUUUUCAAGCUUCUGAAGACUCUGCCUUUGGCUCACGGUCUCUUACUCCAUCUUCAUAUCUAGCAGCAGCAGGUGGCGUCUGCAUCACACUGGACCCCUCUUACCUCCCUCUUUCACUUUUAAGGACCCUUGUGAUUAAUAUUGAGCCCAUCCAAAUAUUUAGAAAUAAUUUAUUUUAAGGUCAGCUCAUUGGCAGUCUUAAUUCCCCUUGUAACAUUUCACAUUUGCAGGUUCUAGGAUUAGGACUUGGAUAUUGUUGGAGGUCAUUCUGCCUGUCUUAGGGAAUUGUGUUGGUUUUGGACAUGGUUAUAGUUCCAGGCAUACAUAACUGCUUAGAGUUGUUUUCAGACAGCGUAAGUGAAAUGAAUGAGCUAAGGAAAAUACUUAAUCCAAUAAAAAAUAGAACAUACUCGGGCUGUCUCAAUGUUUUCCUACGGUAUUUAAGUGCCAGUUUAUGGAGGUUUUAAAGAAAAGAUUUUCUCAGACGAGAAGAGCUUAUAAUAUACUUCCUGCAAACAUUCUAGAAAAUGUAGGUCCUUAUCAGUCAACCUUCAGAAUGGGGAAACCACAAAAUAAGUGAAAUUUUGUUAACCUAUCUAAGUAAACAUUAAAGAGUUGCUUUUAGAAAUGACACAAUGUAAAGAGACCAUCAGGGUCUAAAACCUCAUUAGCCAGAACUGGAAAAUGAGCUUUUAAAUACAGGUAAAAAGUAAAUAAGCAAUUUAUCCUCUACUUUGUUAGAGUACAGAAAUAGUAUUUCAAAGCAACCACUAGCAGAAUAAAAGACUAUACUUAACUUUGAAAUCACCAGGAAAAAGGCUAGGAAAACAGCCCACAAAGCAAAAGACAAAAAGGAGGAGACAGAAAUAAGAACAUUUUUAAUUAAAAUUAAGCACAGAAAAAUUUUAAGUAGUUUGUAUUCAAGUCAGUUUUACUUAAAUUUUAUAACAUGCAAGCCCUGGUUAUUUUUAGUGAUUGGAAAUGUAGACAACUGGUGGUUUGCCCCUAGUCAAUGGGAAGUCCUGGCCCUUGAUACUCUGGCCCAGCAGUAAGAGCUUCUAUUAAACCUCUGCUCCUUGAACAAGGAACAAAUCUUACUUUGUAUUCCCCAAAAUGACUGCAAAGUAGGCAUUCAAUAGAUAGCUGUUGAAUGGAUUGGAGAUUUCUCCUAAACAUCAUGUUACAAUUCAACUGUUCUUUGAUGUACUGCAGUAGACAUUUUCAUGCCAUUCUUAAAUUUCUCAGUCUCCUGAUGCCAAAUUUUGUUUAGAGGUAGAGGCUGAAGGUUAUGCUUGCUUUGGUGGAGAGUAUAAAGACAAUAGUAUGUGUGUAGCGGGGAAUGAGGCAGUGGAUAUAAAGAAAAGAAAAGGUUAUUUGCACAUCCAUAAGUAAUAUGUAACGGUGGCAAUGAAUGGCUGGCUGGGGUGGGAUAGUGGUUCUGGUCAGCUCCGGGAACUUUGUUGGUCGGUCAUAGUGUGAUAAAAGAGUUCAGAACAGAUCUCAAAUUAGGUUUUGUUUGUUUUUGUCUUUAUAAUUUAGGAAAUUAGAAAUGAGUCCUACCUCAGGACCGCAAUCUGUCUUUUUCACUUUUUGGCUGUUAUGUUCUUCACCAAAUCACUCUUUGGGAAGUAAGCUGCAGAGUGAACUGAUGGAUGUCUAUGAAAAUAAACAUGCAUGACCCUGUAACAAAGCAUGUGUGUCCUCAAGAAGAUUGCAGGUGAUUUUCAGAUGAGUCUCAUGUCUGCACAGUGAGAAUUCAUAAAAUGAAGUGUUAACCAAUACUCAGAAAGUGAGUUCAGAGGGGGAAAUAACUGCUGCAGUACUGUGUGUGCUUGAUACACAUUAUGACAGGUAGGUAAUUAGAAGAGUCUUGUUACUGCAUCUAGUUUAGCAUACAUAAAUACAGUAAUUAGGUUGUUUUUUUAAAAAAGCAAUUUUGUCACAGAACGAUCCUUAGUAUGACGAAUCCAAUAUUUAAUAUUUUUUCCACCCCAAAAUGGAAUGUACAGUUUAGUACCAAGUGAAACCAUUCAGUCUUGGUUGAUUGAUAUUACUAUCAGAAUAAAUUAUUGGUUUUUUUGUUUAUAUAGGAGUUGAGGCAUUUCACUGCUGUAAAGUACUGUGCCUUCUUAAAAUGAUGAUGGAAUAUUGGAAUAUCAAAGACCCUAAACACAUUUUAUUCAUUUUAAAGACAUGUAAUCCUGCUGAUAUUUAAAGUCUAAUAUUUUAAUCAUAGGUCUGUCUCCAAAAGGAUGUCAUCUAAAAGCAAUUUUCAUAUUUUGUAUAGGGUUAUUGCUUUGUAUUGAUUUGGUUUAUAAAAAAGGGACAACAAUCCAUUUAGCAGUCAUGUAAUUCAAUUUUAAAUUAUAGGUUUCUUAAAACACAUCUGAUUCUGGAUAAUGAUAGGAUCUAGGAUAUGGAAGUAGUGAUGAGCCUUAAAAUGAAAAAAGACUACUAAUAAAGUGUUAAAGUUUGAUAAUUCAAUGAGGUUACAUUGCAGCAAUUAAGCAGGCAUGUUAUAUAAUGCCUAUUGUUGAGAAUGAGUUAGCCAUGACCUUUGCCCACUUUUAAAAAAAUACAAUGCUAAGCACAGAGCACAUGCUACAAAGAUGCUAAAGAAAAUUAUGAGAUUAAUGAUUGGUUUUUACACAUUAACCAUGUUGUAACAGCCUAAGUGCUACUGACGCUGUUCUGUCUUAGACUCAUCAAAUAAUUGGACCAAGUUUGAGGAAAUCAAUUUCUACUAAAUAGUUAACCAUAAGGUAUAUUUGUAUUAGCAAACAAAAUGCUUUCAAAAUGUUCCACUUUUGAAACUGUUUGAGUCUUUUAUGUUGACUCAAUGACUUUGUUUACAAAGGGAAACUGAAGUGGAGUUAAGCAAUUAUCUGGCAAAUUUGAUCACUGUACACAAUCACAGGGAAUACAACAAAUAAUAUUUUAGAAAAGUUGUUUGAUGACAUCACAGCUUCACUCCAUAGAUCUUUAGUAGUUUUGGGGUUUUUAUUUUUUGAGGAAUUGUUGGAAUUGCAAUAAUGCAUGUUUGCUUGCUUCCAUUUUUUCCCCUCCCCCCCAUAUUUGUAUCUCUAAAUAAUAUGUACAUGGUUAAGAAUUUAGUAAUUAUUAACCCUAUCUAUUCUUACAACACUUUAAGAAUUUGUAGACCUAUCUAGGUAGUCAGAAUACAUUUUGAGUUUCAGUUGAAUGUUUUACAUUCAUAUGGAAAACUCAGGGGCAAAAGUAAUUAUUUUAAAUAAUGGCAUACUUUGAAACAGUUGCUCAAGGCCAAGUUAUUUUCUAGCAGAUUUAUUAAGUUACUGCCCCGUAAACUUAACUGCCUAUUUAUUGGUCUAUAUUCAUAACAGUGUCUCUUAUUUCCUAGUCACCUCAAAUUAAAAGGAAUUUGUAAGGUACUUAUCUUGAAGCCAUAUUAGUUUGAGCAUUAAAUGUCUUUCAAAUAUUUUUUAAUCUCAUGAAUCCAUGCCCAAAGAACAGUAAGGAUGUGUAUGUAGCAAUAUAUUUUUAAAUAUUACCUGAAGAUUUUCCCCAGAUACCUCCCUUUACCUCAUGUCCUUUCUUCCAUUUUUUCAGUUCUUAUUCAGUCUCAUAAAAGGAAGAAAAAUAAGGAAUUUGCUUGGCUUUUGGAUUUCAACUGUUUCCCUUACUGGAAAAUGAAAAACAUGUGCAUAAACAAUACAGUAAAUUUAAAUGAUUGCAUAAGGAUCUCUAUAUGCCUGAAAGUCAUGCUUGAAAAGGCCUCCAGUUUGAACAAGAGACAACAUAGCAGUGACAUUCAUGGCCUGAUGUCCAAAGACCAGCAUAGAAAAAAAAAAGCCAUUACCCUUGCCCUGAAUAUGUGGGCUGAAAUUCAUUGUAACUGUGUACAGGAGAUUAGAGACAGAAGGCAAUAAGAAAGCACUGGAAGUGCUUGGUCCAGAAUCAUUUAAUAGUGUAUGGAUUAGAAAAGGAGGUGGUAGUUAGAUGGGAUUAAGAAACCGUGUUUGUUGCUAACAAGAACCCUAAAUUCUGCCACAAUACAGUGAGAGGAGACCAUGGUUUGAUCCCUAUUAACAGUAAUAGUGGAUACUGCUAAGAAAAACCCAGCUAAUUAUGCCGCCGCCUCCUCUGAAUCACUGCUGUCCCUACUGGUUUAGUUCCUUAGCAGAAACAAAGUAGUAAUAGACGAAUAAAUCUGCCCUGCUGCAGAAGUGCAUUAGAGAACAUGAAGGUAAUUUUAUUGGGUGAAAACCUGGAGAAUGGUUUUUUUAUAACCUUAAAAAAUCUUAUUGAGUGGCCUGAGUAAUUUUGUUACGAUUUACUCAGCCCUCCAUCCUUCCUGUAGGACUUGUGAAUGUCCUUGUUAACUAUUUAAAGAUGAUAAUGGUAGCUAACAAUUUUGUCAAGCAUUGAGUAUUCAUUUAAUCCUAACUCCAGUCUGAGGUAAUUGCUGUGAUAAUUAUUCCCAUUUUACAGAUAAGGAAACUGAGGCAGAGAGAGAUGUAGCGGACCAAGUUCACAAAGCUGAUAAAACAGAGGAACCAGGAUUUAAAUCUAGGUAGUUUGGCUCUAGCACAAGUUCUCUUAACUGCUGUAUUGCCUUUCAGUCCAGCUUAUACAUUUUGAUAACUAUGCUAACAAAAUCCAAGGAAAUAGCAACAAAAUAUUAACAUUAGUUAUCACUGAACAGAAAAAUUUGGAGUUUUAGUAUUUUGAGUUUAUACCUUUCCCAAAUGUUAUAGAAUAAUCGCAUUCCUGUUACGAUCAGAAAAAAAUACUUUAAAAUGAGCAUAAUUUUUAUGAAAACUAGGGAGAGAAUUACAUAAAAUAUUCUCACAAGAAAGACUGGGAGAAAUACAUGCAAAAAGGUCUGUUGCAGUGUUACCUGUGUAGUGAAAUUUUCAGUCAUUUUUUCUUCUGUACUUUAUUUUUUGGUAUUUGAUUUUAAACCUGUAGUUUUUUUUUUAAUGCUAAAAAAUAUACAAUCAUCUUUAUAUAAUCACUGAUUUCUGGAGAAAUUAUUUACCAAAAUGAUUCAGAAAACAUGGAAACUGUUAAGUGAGUUACCAAAAAAUAUUUUAAGAUGUAAUUAAAUGAUUCUAUCAAAGACAUUAGGCCUAGAGAAUCUGGGGUAUUUAAUUAUUUUAAAUUUCUGAAGUAUGAGCCAAUUCAAAUGAUGUUAUAUACUCUUGAAAAAGUAAAAACUUCCUAAUGCAUUUCCUUAAAUUAGCAUUAAAAUCUGAGAAAUAAGCAAAAAUAUAAUGGUCAUCUCACUUAUUACAGAUGCAAAAGAACUACAUAAAAAAUGCAAAUAACAGAAAUAAUAGUAAUAGUAUAUACUAAAAUAGCUGUUGUCCCCACCGUGAGUUAACUCUGCUUUGCUAGUGUUAAGAAACUCAAUUAAAUAGAAUGCAGAAAUAAUUGGCAUAAUUAUUGCUAACAUCCAAAAAUAUUGUCUUUGAAAACCCAAAGAAUUAUUAGAAAAAUUAGUACUGAUAGAGACCACAGUGAGGUAAUUUAACACAAAAAUUAAAUGUAAAAACCAAUGUUUUCCUUGAUACUAACAAAUAUAAGUUGCUCAAUAAAACAAAAAGACUGCAAAAUAUUAAGUUAUAAAGCACCUAGAAGAAAAUCUUGAGACAUAUGCAGAGUGAAAGGUAAAAAAUUUAUACUUCACUUUUUCAUAAACUUUUAAUGAAAUUCAAAAAAGGUGCAUAAAUAGAGUUUAUGCAUUCUAGCCAGGUUUUUUUGUGUGUGUGAGAAAACAGUACUAUGUCAGCCUUCCCAUACUAUGUUAUUCUGCUAACAUUGCUACAAUAAAAAGUCAGUGGAAUUUA
rnacentral:lncRNA from 1 species